rnacentral:rRNA from 1 species
UUCCGGUUGAUCCUGCCGGAGGUCACUGCUAUUGGGAUUCGACUAAGCCAUGCGAGUCGAGAGGGUUCGGCCCUCGGCAGACGGCUCAGUAACACGUGGAUAAUCUGCCCUUAGGUGGAGGAUAAUCUCGGGAAACUGAGAAUAAUACUCCAUAGAUCUAGGAUGCUGGAAUGCACUUAGGUUAAAAGUUCCGACGCCUAAGGAUGAGUCUGCGGACUAUCAGGUAGUAGUCAGGGUAAAGGCCUGACUAGCCUACAACGGAUACGGGUUGUGAGAGCAAUAACCCGGAGACGAUAUCUGAGACACGAUAUCGGGCCCUACGGGGCGCAGCAGGCGCGAAACCUUCACAAUGUGCGAAAGCACGAUGAGGGAAUCCCAAGUGCUUGCUCGUAAGAGUAAGCUGUUUUUAUGUCUAAAAAGCAUAGAGAGUAAGGGCUGGGUAAGACGGGUGCCAGCCGCCGCGGUAAUACCUGCAGCUCAAGUGGUGACCACUAUUAUUGGGCCUAAAACGUUCGUAGCCGGUUUGGUAAAUGCCUGGGUAAAUCGUGUAGCUUAACUAUACGAAUUCCGGGUAGACUGUCAAACUUGAGACCGGGAGAAGCUAGAGGUACUCCUGGGGUAGAGGUGAAAUUCUGUAAUCCUGGGGGGACCACCAGUGGCGAAGGCGUCUAGCUAGAACGGGUUUAACGGUGAGGAACGAAGCCCUGGGGCGCAAACCGGAUUAGAUACCCGGGUAGUCCAGGGUGUAAACGCUGCUUGCUUGAUGUUAGUUGGGCUCCGAGCCCAAUUAGUGUCGGAGAGAAGUUGUUAAGCAAGCUGCCUGGGAAGUACGAUCGCAAGAUUGAAACUUAAAGGAAUUGGCGGGGGAGCACAGCAACGGGUGGAGCGUGCGGUUUAUUGGAUU